CAGUGGAUUGACUGGCUGUCAGGGCUAAUAAGCCAAUCAGAGGCCAUGUACCUGCAUGAAUCAUCAAACCUCAGAGAGUCUGAUCCAGACCACAGCAGCAGAGACCUGGAUCCGGACAGGCCUGUCGUAGUUUUAUUCUGAUGUGGAGGAGAAACGAACCAUGAUGUGUUCACUGCAUGGAGGAAAGUGAGAAUAAAUUUUCUGUUCGCUGGCUCGAUGUGACGAAUGUUUCCACCGGAGCUGCAACACUUGACGUUUCUGACCGCAGUGGACGAGGAAACUUGACGUGUAGGAAACAUGCUAGCGAUAACUGCGAGCUGUCGUCAUUAAGUUUAAAAUGUUCCUUGUUUAUUUAUGUAUUUAUGACAUUGGAUUGUUGAGCAUGUUGAUGAACACGAAGUUUAAAAGCUGCCAGUGAACUGCUGUCAUCGGUUCUCAGAAAACAUUAUCGUGAUCAGAAAGAAGCUUUUUCACGAGUUAAGACAAGAGAAAUGGAAGAAGUACUUGGAUACUUUACUAGAGUAGAAGUAGUGAUACUACACUGCAAAAAUACUCAGACUGAAAGUCCUGCAUUACAAAUUUCAUGUCAGUAAAAGUAUCAUCAGGAAAAUGUAGUUAUUCAAAGUACUUUUACUUUAGGACUGUACUUCAGUGCAGUUUUGAAGUACUUCACUGCAUCUAUCUAACAGCUUAAGUUAUUAGUUACUUUCCAGAUACAAAAGCAGUUUAUAGAAGACAGCACAUUAUAUAUAAUUAUACAACACAAGUAUUUAGUAGGUGGCACUCCCAUCCUUUACGUCAGUAAAACUACUGAUAUCACAAAAAUACUCUGUUACAAGUUAAAGUCCUGCACUGAAAUGUUUCUUUAGUAAAAGUAUCAUCAGGAAAAUGUAGUUGAAUUAGUCAGUAAAAGUAUUGAUUGUUUUUACAGGAAAUAGCUGAUCAGCAAUCAGUGAAUGAUCGAUCGCUCAGCUGCAUCUGUACUAACUGUGGAGUGACUAGUAACUGAAGCUAGUAAAUGUAAUGGCGUAAAUG